AUGGCAGUAAAGAUACAGAAAGGCUUGGAAGAUUUAUAAAUGAUGAUCACAUCAAGCCAAACAGCAAAAUUAAAAUAAUAAUGGAUGAAAAGAAAAGACCACAUCUGUGUGCAUUUGCGUUAACAAAAAUCAACGCAGGAGAAGAAAUUAUCUAUGACUACGGAGAUCCUAACUGCCCACGGAGACAGAAAACCAUUACUUCCACAUUCAGAGAGAUCAAGGAAAAUAUGGAAUCACGAUGGAAGAAUUCAUUUCAAAACCUUGAUUUAAAGCCUGGUGUGAUGAAAAUUGAUGACCUUGUUAUCAACACAGAAAUGAAGAUUGCAAAUGGAUGCAAUGCUGCUGAGAUUUUCCCAGGAG